UGGGAACUCGAGCCCCUGGGACAUGAAUGU
rnacentral:piRNA from 1 species